AAUAGAUACCCCGGUAGUCCACGCCGUAAACGAUGAGUGCUAAGUGUUAGGGGGUUUCCGCCCCUUAGUGCUGCAGCUAACGCAUUAAGCACUCCGCCUGGGGAGUACGGUCGCAAGACUGAAACUCAAAGGAAUUGACGGGGGCCCGCACAAGCGGUGGAGCAUGUGGUUUAAUUCGAAGCAACGCGAAGAACCUUACCAGGUCUUGGCAUCCCAUUGACCACUAUGGAGACAUAGUUUUCCCUUCGGGGACAACGGUGACAGGUGGUGCAUGGUUGUCGUCAGCUCGUGUCGUGAGAUGUUGGGUUAAGUCCCGCAACGAGCGCAACCCUUGUUCUUAGUUGCCAUCAUUUAGUUGGGCACUCUAAGGAGACUGCCGGUGACAAACCGGAGGAAGGUGGGGAUGACGUCAAAUCAUCAUGCCCCUUAUGACCUGGGCUACACACGUGCUACAAUGGACGGUACAAACGGUUGCCAACCCGCGAGGGGGAGCUAAUCCGAUAAAACCGUUCUCAGUUCGGAUUGUAGGCUGCAACUCGCCUACAUGAAGCCG
rnacentral:rRNA from 1 species